rnacentral:snRNA from 1 species
CUUGCUUCUGGAAAGAGCAAUAUUGUUCCCAUUAUAAGCAUAGUGAGAUCGCUAAGAUUAAGUGUAGCAUCUGCUCUUAUCAGUUUGAUAUCUGAUAUGUCCUCUGAGGACAACAUACUAAAUGAAUUUUUGGAGCAGGGAGUUAGGACAGGCGCUUGCUCCGACCACUCUACUCAUCAACCUGGUAUUGCAGUACCUCCGGAAAUGGUGCACCUCGC